UUCCUUUUAUUUAAAUCACUAUUCAUUUCAUUUAAUUUCUUCUUACUUUAAAAUAACCGUAGGGGUAUUCAAAUUGAUUCUAAGAAACUUUUUUAUGUACCUUUUGUAUCAGGGUGAAUCAAACUUCAUUUUGAAAAAUAUAUUCCCGAAAUAAAAUGAGCUACUUAUUUUUUUAUAUUUUAUUGCAAAAAAAUAGUAAAAAUUUAGUAGAAGUGAAAUUCCAUUCGUAUUUUCUUAUAUCUGGUUUUUUCAAAAAGUAUAAUUACUUAAACCUAAAAAGGGACAAUCUUUUUUAAAUAUUUGUUCUCCAUUUUAAUCAUCCAUUAAGGAUUAGAAGUGUCUUUUUGUGUAAAAACUUAUUUCUUUUAUUCAGAUAAAUUUUAUUAUGAAACUCUUUUCCUUUUAUAGGAACAAUGAUUCAAUCAGUAAAGAUCUAUUUUAAACAUUUCUUUUAAAUAUCUUAAAACGAUUUCUCUAAUUUAUUUUCAUUAACUUGGCUGAGUUUUCUGACUGUUUACCAAAAACAUUUCUGAGUGACUUUUCUUUUCAGUAAGACCUGCUCAAUGAUAUUUUUUUUUAAUAGCCGCAAUUUACGUGCUAAGGUAGCAUAAUCAUUUGCCUUAUAAUUUAAGGCUAGUAUGAAAGGUUUAACAUGAUAACUUCUUUGUAAAUUUAACUUCCAGAAUUCUACCUACAAGUAAAAAGGCUUGUAUUUAUAAGGGGGACGACAAGACCCUAUCGAGCUUCACUUAUCUAGUUGAACUGGGGUGGUAAAAAACUAAAUCUUUUCAUUUCGUCUCUUUUUAUCCUUAUUGUAAGAUUUUCAAGUUACCGUAGGGAUAACAGCAUAAUUUUUUUCUAGAGACCCUAUCUAAAAAAAAGAUUGUGACCUCGAUGUUGAAUUAAUUUUCUUCUUGGAGCAGAAUCUAGAA
rnacentral:rRNA from 1 species